GCAUAUCAAUAAGCGGAGGAAAAGAAACCAACAGGGAUUGCCCUAGUAACGGCGAGUGAAGCGGCAACAGCUCAAAUUUGAAAUCUGGCCUUUGGUCCGAAUUGUAAUUUGUAGAGGAUGCUUUUGAUGCGGUACUUUCCGAGUUCCCUGGAACGGGACGCCUUAGAGGGUGAGAGCCCCGUACGGUUGGAUACCAAAUCUUUGUAUAGCUCCUUCGACGAGUCGAGUAGUUUGGGAAUGCUGCUCUAAAUGGGAGGUAAAUUUCUUCUAAAGCUAAAUACCGGCCAGAGACCGAUAGCGCACAAGUAGAGUGAUCGAAAGAUGAAAAGCACUUUGAAAAGAGGGUUAAAUAGCACGUGAAAUUGUUGAAAGGGAAGCGUUUAUGACCAGACUUUUUCCAGGCGGAUCAUCCGGUGUUCUCACCGGUGCACUUCGCCUGGUUGAGGCCAGCAUCGGUUUCUGUAGAGGGAUAAAAGCUUUAGGAAUGUGGCUCUUCGGAGUGUUAUAGCCUAUUGUAUAAUACCUUUAUGGGGACCGAGGUUCGCGCUCUGCAAGGAUGCUGGCGUAAUGGUCAUCAACGACCCGUCUUGAAACACGGACCAAGGAGUCGAACAUUUGUGCGAGUGUUUGGGUGUUAAACUCUCACGCGUAAUGAAAGUGAACGGAGGUGAGAGCCGUAAGGUGCAUCAUCGACCGAUCCUGAUGUUUUCGGAUGGAUUUGAGUAAGAGCAUAAAUGUUCGGACCCGAAAGAUGGUGAACUAUGCGUGGAUAGGGUGAAGCCAGAGGAAACUCUGGUGGAGGCUCGCAGCGGUUCUGACGUGCAAAUCGAUCGUCAAAUCUGCGCAUGGGGGCGAAAGACUAAUCGAACCAUCUAGUAGCUGGUUACCGCCGAAGUU
rnacentral:rRNA from 1 species